CACUCGGCCGCAACUUGCAGCGAUCGGAUCGGUCGAUCCCGCUCGCGCCGUGGUGGCUUGUUUGUUUACCACAUUGUUUGGCACGGACGCGGUGCAGCUGUAGCCGCGGGAGGUGGACGACGUUGGCCAGGAGGUCGAGAGACAAAGAUCCCAUAUUUCCUGGGUGGAGGUUCCGGUGGCAGGGGCGGUGGAAAUGACGGCUCGAGUAUCUUCAAACGCAACAUUUUAGAAGCAAAUACAA